GACGAACGCUGGCGGCGUGCUUAACACAUGCAAGUCGAACGGAAAGGCCCUGCUUUUGUGGGGUGCUCGAGUGGCGAACGGGUGAGUAACACGUGAGUAACCUGCCCUUGACUUUGGGAUAACUUCAGGAAACUGGGGCUAAUACCGGAUAGGAGCUCCUGCUGCAUGGUGGGGGUUGGAAAGUUUCGGCGGUUGGGGAUGGACUCGCGGCUUAUCAGCUUGUUGGUGGGGUAGUGGCUUACCAAGGCUUUGACGGGUAGCCGGCCUGAGAGGGUGACCGGCCACAUUGGGACUGAGAUACGGCCCAGACUCCUACGGGAGGCAGCAGUGGGGAAUAUUGCACAAUGGGCGGAAGCCUGAUGCAGCAACGCCGCGUGCGGGAUGACGGCCUUCGGGUUAUAAACCGCUUUCGCCUGUGACGAAGCGUGGGUGACGGUAAUGGGUAAAGAAGCACCGGCUAACUACGUG
rnacentral:rRNA from 1 species